UACGUAGGGGGCUAGCGUUGUCCGGAUUUAUUGGGCGUAAAGAGCGUGUAGGCGGCCAGGUAGGUCUGGUGUGAAAACUCGAGGCUCAACCUCGAGACGUCGGUGGAAACCGUUUGGCUAGAGUCCGGAAGAGGAGAGUGGAAUUCCUGGUGUAGCGGUGAAAUGCGCAGAUAUCAGGAAGAACACCAAUGGCGAAGGCAGCUCUCUGGGACGGUACUGACGCUGAGACGCGAAAGCGUGGGGAGUGAACAGG
rnacentral:rRNA from 1 species